UUGAUCCUGGCUCAGGAUGAACGCUAGCGGCAGGCCUAACACAUGCAAGUCGAGCGGUAGAGAUCCCUUCGGGGGUCUUGAGAGCGGCGCACGGGUGCGUAACGCGUAUGCAACCUACCCUUUACAGGGGAAUAGCCCGUCGAAAGGCGGAUUAAUGCCCCAUAGCCCUUGGGGGUGGCAUCGCCACCAAGGUAAAGAUUUAUCGGUACAGGAUGGGCAUGCGUGCCAUUAGCUGGACGGUGGGGUAACGGCCCACCGUGGCGACGAUGGCUAGGGGUUCUGAGAGGAAGGCCCCCCACACUGGGACUGAGACACGGCCCAGACUCCUACGGGAGGCAGCAGUGAGGAAUAUUGGUCAAUGGGCGGAAGCCUGAACCAGCCAUGCCGCGUGCGGGAAGAAGGCGCUACGCGUCGUAAACCGCUUUUGUCCGGGGGUAACCGCGGGGACGUGUCCCCGCCUGCAAGUACCGGACGAAUAAGGGUCGGCUAACUCCGUGCCAGCAGCCGCGGUAAUACGGAGGACCCGAGCGUUAUCCGGAUUCAUUGGGUUUAAAGGGUGCGCAGGCGGCCCGGUCAGUCAGCGGUGAAAUGCCCGCGCUUCACGCGGGAGCUGCCGUUGAUACUGCCGGGCUAGAAUCUCAGCGAGGCGGGCGGAAUGCGCGGUGUAGCGGUGAAAUGCAUAGAUAUCGCGCAGAACGCCGAUUGGGGAGCCAGCUCGCCAGCUGGGUAUUGACGCUGAGGCACGAAAGCGUGGGGAUCGAACAGGAUUAGAUACCCUGGUAGUC
rnacentral:rRNA from 1 species